rnacentral:rRNA from 1 species
ACCCGCUGAACUUAAGCAUAUCAAUAAGCGGAGGAAAAGAAACCAACAGGGAUUGCCCUAGUAACGGCGAGUGAAGCGGCAACAGCUCAAAUUUGAAAUCUGGCUCUCUUAGAGUCCGAGUUGUAAUUUGCAGAGGGCGCUUUGGCUUUGGCAGCGGUCCAAGUUCCUUGGAACAGGACGUCACAGAGGGUGAGAAUCCCGUACGUGGUCGCUGGCUAUUGCCGUGUAAAGCCCCUUCGACGAGUCGAGUUGUUUGGGAAUGCAGCUCUAAAUGGGAGGUACAUUUCUUCUAAAGCUAAAUAUUGGCCAGAGACCGAUAGCGCACAAGUAGAGUGAUCGAAAGAUGAAAAGCACUUUGGAAAGAGAGUCAAACAGCACGUGAAAUUGUUGAAAGGGAAGCGCUUGCAGCCAGACUUGCUUACAGUUGCUCAUCCGGGCUUUUGCCCGGUGCACUCUUCUGUAGGCAGGCCAGCAUCAGUUUGGGCGGUAGGAUAAAGGUCUCUGUCACGUACCUCUCUUCGGGGAGGCCUUAUAGGGGAGACGACAUACUACCAGCCUGGACUGAGGUCCGCGCAUCUGCUAGGAUGCUGGCGUAAUGGCUGU